rnacentral:tRNA from 1 species
CGGGGCGUAGCGUAGCCUGGUAUCGCGCCACGUUCGGGACGUGGAGGCCGCAGGUUCAAAUCCUGCCGCCCCGA